AUGUGUAUAUUGAAUUAACAAAAAUAAUACGAUGAAUUUUUAUGAUUGUUUACAUUUUGCAUUUAAAUAUCUUGUUUUUAUACUAAAAUUUUAAUUUAAAAUGUGUAUUACGGCAAUUUUGUUCGAUUCGUAUACAUAUCCGAAAUAAUUUGCGAGUGAAAGCGUGGUAUUAAUGGAAAAUGUAUAUGCAUGAAAAUUUAUCAGUAUUACGUUAAACCCUCUAUUUUUGUAAUAAUCUCGUAAAUGUUACUAAUUACAUAUAUUUUCUUGAUCGAUUAAUGAAAUAAUAUCACAGGAAAGGACGGUAUCCGUAAGAAAACGCGACGAAUGCACUGUCCUGUAAUUAUUCUUGAAUUAUUAUAAUUCGUAAUUAUGGAGAAUCCAACCGGUAAAUUGUCAUACUACGAAAAAUUCACCAAAAUUAUGGAGAAGCGAUUGGAUCUACUUUCUCGACAUACGUGUUAGCUUACGUCAAGCGGACUUGAAAAAUUGGGCGCAAUACCUUGAAGGCCAUUGUUGCUCGGUUGAUCGGGUACUUCGUUCGAUCUUGUGAGUUUGUAAUGCGAAUGAUACUAAAGGAUGGAUGGUUUUCGGCUUUUAUACCUCUCUGUUCAGGAACCGCGAGAGGCCCACCAUACUCCACGCUACUCAACGAUAUACAUAUACAUAUAUAAAACAGGGCAUAUUCACUGAUGUAACUGGGUGACGGUUCCUUCGCCAGUUACCCGAUUCGCAAAAUGAGCAACGAAAUUGUGCAAGAAAUCGAACCACACCCAACAAAAGCGAGCAAUAUCGAGAUCGGAUCGGGCCUCUGCUCUUGUAACCCGUCAGAUCUGAAGAGUGCAUCGGUCAUCAUCUUCAUCGUCGUCGGGGACUAGGCCACGUCCUUGCCGACGAUUUAGCUAAUCCUCCUUCGCAUAAUCUUCUUAAUUACCAGACAUUAUCAUCCUAACGCGAAAUGCAAUUUAUUUAAUGUGACACAUUGCAUAGCACUGUGCAAUAAAGAAUUAUUACUACUUGCGAUGAGCGACGACAGUAUAUUGAUCGACAUUUGAACAGAACUUAAUGAGUAUGUAGGCUGUCUGCGUGAAUAUUCCAAACCCAGAUAAUUAUAUGAACUGUUUCGAAACUUAUCCCAUGUAAUUUUGAUGCCUGACGGAUGUAUCUCGUGGAUCUCGAAAUAUAUCACCUGUCGCGCGAACGUAACGAAUCUCAUGGACAAGAACGUGAUCCAGAGGAUAGAGCGGAUGAGAAAAAUCGAACGCGACGGUGAUGAGCGAAAUCUCGAGCCUCGAUCGACACGAGGUUGCUCGAUUAUACCCGCGGGCUCGCAAUCGAUCGGGGCGGACCCCGAUAUUCGAGCGACCUACCUAUUUCUUCUUUAUGAAAGUGCUCCACUUCUCUCUCUUUCUUUCUCUCUCUCUCCUUCCUUGUUCGGCCGUCGCACGGGACCCGAUGAUGUUAGAUGAUAUGACGUAACAACGCGUAUCCCGUCUGUCGCGACACAUUCGGCAAAGACACGUAUGGAAUGCCUGGAAAGUUUCGCGAUGAUGACGACAACGAAGAGGAGGUGGUAUUACUUGCGUUUCUUUGACUAUGUGGGUGCUCUACUUGAUAGACACCACUUAUCAGGUGAGAGGUAUCUGUUAAUUAUUCUGAACAUUCCAUUAAUUUCGAAAAAAGCCACAUUAUGUGUCAUGCAUUUUUAUAAAUAAUCCUCUCUUUGCAUACAAGG